CUACGGGAUGCAGCAGUGAGGAAUAUUGCACAAUGGGGGGAACCCUGAUGCAGCAACGCCGCGUGGAGGAUGACGCAUUUCGGUGUGUAAACCCCUUUUGUAUGUCAAGAAAAUGACGGUAGCAUAUGAAUAAGCACCGGCUAACUCCGUGCCAGCAGCCGCGGUAAUACGGAGGGUGCACAGCGUUACUCGGAAUCACUGGGCGUAAAGGACGCGUAGGCGGGUUGGAAAGUCGGGUGUGAAAUCCUACAGCUUAACUGUAGAACUGCACUUGAAACUUCUAAUCUAGAGUAUGGGAGAGGGAGAUGGAAUUAGUGGUGUAGGGGUAAAAUCCGUAGAUAUCACUAGGAACACCUAAAGCGAAGGCGAUUUCCUGGAACAUUACUGACGCUAAGGCGCGAAAGCGUGGGGAGCAAACAGGAUUAGAUACCCCAGUAGUC
rnacentral:rRNA from 1 species